AAGACUUUAAGUUAUUCAAACUAAUAACCUUCAAAGUUAUAAUUAUAAUUAUAUUUAUAAGUCUUA
rnacentral:tRNA from 1 species